rnacentral:lncRNA from 1 species
GGCAACACACCAAGAGACUCCAGGGACAAGAUUAUUCAUGAAUUUUAUGUCACAAAAGAAGGUAGGUAGGACUUCAAUAGGAUAGCGAAAUUCCAACACCCUAGAGGACCUAUUUAUAAGAUAGAUGGUGUUUAACAUAGUCUCUCCUAGUAAUGUUUAGGUACAUAGUUUUGGGACAAGAACACAUGUAGUAAUGAGAAAGUGACUGGUUUACUGUUCUGCCACCCUUACAUUCUACAGUCAUAUUAAAUGGGACCUCCGUUCUGCUAUCACAUCCAUAAGUUGAAGUAACCUUUGAAAUAUGAGCAAUUCAUGCUGAAACUUAAACUAACAAUGAGAGUUUGGGUACUAGUCGACAAUGAGGAACAACUCGGCUGACUACUCGCAAUCAUUUAAGUGAUUCAUGAUCUCGUGUUUUCUUCUGC